rnacentral:rRNA from 1 species
CACGUAGGGGGCGAGCGUUGUCCGGAUUUAUUGGGCGUAAAGGGCUCGUAGGCGGCUCAGUAAGUCGGGUGUGAAACCUCCAGGCUCAACCUGGAGACGCCACUCGAUACUGCUGUGGCUAGAGUCCGGUAGGGGAGCAUGGAAUUCCUGGUGUAGCGGUGAAAUGCGCAGAUAUCAGGAGGAACACCAGUGGCGAAGGCGGUGCUCUGGGCCGGAACUGACGCUGAUGAGCGAAAGCUAGGGGAGCGAACGGG